rnacentral:rRNA from 1 species
GACGAACGCUGGCGGCGUGCUUAACACAUGCGAGUCGAACGGUAAGGCCCUUCGGGGUACACGAGUGGCGAACGGGUGAGUAACACGUGGGUGAUCUGCCCUGCACUUCGGGAUAAGCCUGGGAAACUGGGUCUAAUACCGGAUAGGACCACUGCCUGCAUGGGUGGUGGUGGAAAGCUUUUGUGGUGUGGGAUGGGCCCGCGGCCUAUCAGCUUGUUGGUGGGGUGAUGGCCUACCAAGGCGACGACGGGUAGCCGGCCUGAGAGGGUGACCGGCCACACUGGGACUGAGAUACGGCCCAGACUCCUACGGGAGGCAGCAGUGGGGAAUAUUGCACAAUGGGCGCAAGCCUGAUGCAGCGACGUCGCGUGAGGGAUGACGGCCUUCGGGUUGUAAACCUCUUUCGGCACCGACGAAGCGCAAGUGACGGUAGGUGCAGAAGAAGGACCGGCCAACUACGUGCCAGCCGCCGCGGUAA